rnacentral:misc_RNA from 1 species
UUUGAGUUCAUGGCCCAAUGCGUCAAAAAUUGGAGCCUCGAUGUCGUAACAGGAGGUGAAGAGGAGGGAUUGCGCCGUGGUGCACCAUAUGACACGUUUGAGGUAGCUCAUUUGACAAUCGAAGAAUUUCGGAUCAGUUUUAGGAAGAUAGUGGAGAGGAUCAUCUACUACAUCCAAGUAAGGCUGUGGUAUUUUGUGGCCCUCUUCAACUUUGCCGAGGCUGAGCAAUGCCAGCCAUGACAUCGCCGACUGGGUCCUCAGCGACCCCACCGG